CAGGUGUCUAUACACGCCCCGCGGAGCAGACGGCCCACCUCCUCCCGGUCCUCCGGGGAAGGGGACACAUGAGGGACUCACCUGUGGCUCCCUCUGCCUGCAGCAACUCCAUCCGCUCCUGCAACUGCCGGACGUGUGCCUCUAGGUCCCGGUUCCGAGCCUCUGCCUCGCGUAGUUGACUGUGGGGAGGUAAGGACGGAACAAAUCAGGAUUCCCACCUGCCCAAGGCCUUUGCCCUGGAGGCUCUCGCCUGACCACUUGGCACCUUUCCUUCCAUGGCUUGUUUCUCCUUCACCAGCGCUCAGCUCAAAGAUCGACUUCUCAGAUCCCCAGCAACACACACACCCUUACUUAAUGCCCCACUGUAACUACAGAGACCGUCCCAUGUCUGAAGUAACCUCGUCUCUCCGUGGUUUCUGUCUGCUUCUGUUCAGGAAGUCCCUAGAGGGCUCUACAGUGCACGCCACCCGGGAAGCCCUCACCUUUUCUCUCCCAAUUGUCCCUGACGGACCCCCUCCCCUCCACCAACUUACUGUUUCAUCCUGUGGGGACACCGAGGGCUCCAGGCUGGGCGCUUGCACGUGUGGCUCAAGCAGCUGCUCGGCCUCCAGUUCCAUGGGUGUGGGGCCUGGGACCUCACUGUCCCUGGGGAGAGGAGGAGGGAGUGGGGAGGGAGACAGAAUGCUGAUUCUCUGGUGGAGAACCAGAACU
rnacentral:lncRNA from 1 species